ensembl:lncRNA
GGUGAUAAUAAGCGAAGGCAGUUUUUUGUGAAGCUAAAUCAUGCCCCUCUGGUCAGUUGACUUCUUUGAGCUCCUAAAAAAGGCAGAUCAGGAAGAAAUAGGGAGCAGAGUAAAUACAGCCUUUCAAAAGCGUUUUUGAUAAAGACUUUUCCAAGAGUGAAAUAAACUUGGCAACCGUGGGAUGAAAAGUCCCGUCAUGGAUUAAAAAGUGGGUCAGAGCUGAUAGCAAGGAGAAAAUCCAUUAGAAGGAUAUGGCCAGCAGGGUUACUCCGCUGUUCCUUUGACAGAAUUCAUGGAAAUUACUGGCAGCGCGCUGACUCUUCGCUCUCUGUUUCUCUCCUGAGGAAUUAUCUCAUCUGCGCUCAUUGAAGACUGUUGACUCUGAGGGGAGUGUUUACUUGAGGACACCUCGCCUGGCCAGGAAGGAGCAAUGCGGAGAGCGAGCGCUGGUUCCUCCCAGUCACAGCCCAACCAGCCUGUGCUGCGCCGAGGUGCUUUGUAAACAUUUGUUCAUCCUUGCACACACCUCCCGCCCCCCGUAAGGUGAGGAAAUGUUAUUGCCACCUUUCCACAGAUGGAAGAAGUGAGCACAGAGAGGUGCGGUGACUCAUCAGCCGCAGCUGAGGCAGAGCUGGAGCUGCGGAGCCAAUCUCCCAGCCCUGACAUUGCCGGCAGUCACGUUCUCACCCGGCGCUGGGACGUGGGCAGCGCCAGCCCCAUCCACCUGCCACCCACCUGUCCUGGGAGGCGGCAGCGUGCAUCUCAGCGUGUACAGAAAGAGAUCAGAUCGCCGUGGCUUGCUCCGUGUGCUGGUGUCAUCGCAGCGUGGUGUGCUGUUACGUCAUGAUGUUAUUACGCUUGAAAGUAGUGCAUGGCUGCUCACAGUAACAGGGCAGGGGGCUGAACAUGACCUUGUGCUGCUCAAGCACAUCACACGGCACACGCACACUGCACUGGGGUGUCAGUCAGCCCCACCGCACUGCAAGGACCUGCCUCGAUCUGCAUGCUGGGCAUGGCCGGCCCUGUCCCUGUCUCUGUCUCUAUCUCUGUCUCUGUGCCCAUCUCCAUCCCUGUCUCCGUGCCCCCUUCUCGGCCAGGCCUGCAUUAGUGCAGCCCCACACACUCGGUGCAGGUAACUAAGAGGAAACGUGGCUCUGUGACACAGUGGAAGGAAAGUAUUUGCCUCUCCGGUGGAAAUGGCUCUCACAGCACACGGUCAUAAGGACUGCAGCCCAUGUUCUCAGGGGGUGCUGCCUCUUGGGAGUGAUGGGUGCUUGUUGGAAGCCAAGCUGCCCUCGGUGCGAGCACUCAGCAGAGAGGCACUCGGUGCCUAAUGGCAGCUGUACGUUCAGGGCUGUAUGUUGCCACUACUUGGUGGCACCUAUUGCUGUUUACGGUCUUCAUCAAUAUCGCUCCCCUCUCCCACGCAGAAUCAAGAACAACAACAACUAACACCCCCACUCCUUAUCACCUCUGCUCGCUUUCCACGCUGUCUGCACGAGCAUGGUUUCACUCAUCCCCAGCUCAGCGCGGGCGAGUCACAUCAGUCAGUUCCACUUUGUGACGCAGCUCUGUCUGUCUGUCUGCUCUCAGGUCUGGGCAGGAUGCGCUGUGAUCAGAUUCACCGUACCCGAGGGAAGGGUAGAGUUUGCUCUACACAUCUGUUCAUUUUUAAGUAAAACGCUCGGUACUUUCUUCUUUUAAAUGAAACCUUUGAGACAGGUCAUCCUCAUUAAGCUUGCACCUAGCUGCCUCUUGCCUAGCCAGCUGUAAAACCAGUGUUCAUUGCCACAGUGAAGCCCAAAGAAGGAACCUCCUUGACAUCUGUGGGCUUUGGGACAGUUCGGGAGCCUGGUCCUGCAUGUGUUGAGGGGCAUGGCCAAACACCCAUGAAUUUCAAGGCAUGAGAAACCAGGGUCUCAGUGGUGCUUAGGAGCAGGGAGGACACGCAGCCGAGCACCUGGACCGUUACAGGCCUCCCUGCAUCUCGUCCUACCUUGGUGUGUGGUUCUGAAGAGCACUGGGACCUUGUAGGUGUAGGGGAGUAGAGAGGAAGAUGUCUCUUACUCUGGCCCUCCUUCAGGCAGCAGCACCACCUAAGGCUGCAGAGCCCAGGCUCCCUGCCUUCGCUGAGGGUCAGGCUGGAACUGCAGGGUGUGGGGAAGGCAGGCCAGGCCAUGAAGGGGAUGGAGAACGUGGGCCAACGUGUUGGGGAGGCUGGAGUCAGCACCUUUUGUCCAGAGAAACAGAGGGCCCUCUGUAGUGGAACUGGCAGAGAGUUAAUCUCAUAGUUAAACUGUUACUGGGCUUCACCUGCUCUUAUCCCUCCAUGGUGCAAGGGGCAAGGGGCUCAGUAGGUCAACUGGCACUGGGACCUGACAGCAAUUAAAGGGACCCCGCCGAGGCCCAGGAUUUGACCCGCGCUUUUUUGGUUAGGUCCCUUUCCACACCAUAUCAGUCCUCACAGAUGUCAUUUGUGCUUCAGUGUGGUUUGUGCUAAACAAAGUAAAGCCUUGCAAAGCGGAACAUGCGGCCCAAAGCCAGGGAUGUACCGAAUAGAACUCACAAGCCACCCUACAAUAACAUGCACAGGGCACUCACGAGAGCAGUCCCAAUGUAACUGACGGGUACGUGGCUGUCGAGUCCGUGCAAAACAUGGUACCUGAAUGUCAGGAGUCCCGGAAGGGGAAGACAGCAGUGCCAGCAGUGAGGUUUUGAGAGGCACACGAAACAACUAGUUGAGAAGGAGUUACAAAUCCAGGGCAAACGCCCAGGCAAUACCCCACCUUCUUCUCAUAAGAGGCAUAUAGCCAACACCCCAUCAUACUGGUAAUCAGGGCCCUGGAUAAUGUGGGGUUUGUUUGCUGCUAAUAUAGCCAUUGUAUCUACCCUAGCUGCAGAGCCCUGCUCCUGAACUGAGGCACCAGGACUGCAAGUUACAGCUCUGCUGGCUGAGAGCUUUCUGAAUGGGAACACAGAGCAACCCUCCCUGUCUCUACACAUUCUAGCUCAGCAACGUGUGCUACACCCAUUCAUCUGAACGCAGAACUAGCUCUGAAACUCAUGAUAAGGCCUUAAAUGCCAUCACACAGCUCAUUUAUUUCCCCACUGUCCCGAAGUGCUUCCCAGGUGCUGAAAUCCUGGCUGCCAAAACCUCCAUAGCCUCUGCCGACAACCUCAGUGACAUAGCUCUGCGUUGCAGCACCUUCCCUGCUGCUGCGGGCAGGGUGCUGCCAGAGGCUGUGCGUUCAGCCACAAGACGCCAGGAGCACUGAGGGUGGUCGCUGUGCCUGGCACGCAGCUGGGGAACCGAGGCCCCUAGGGGACAUGCCAUGUCCCCACACAGAGGGGAAGCGUGUGCCAGAGCAGCAGCAGCAGCCGGUGCCUCUCUUUUUCCAUGCGUCUGUCCCCUCCUCAAAGCAAUUUAGCAAUUUUCUUCGCCUUGAUGCCAGUGGCAUUACAUAAGUGUAACCUGGUUGUGAGAUCACGAUACGACACGUCGAUUAGCCAGGGAGGCACAAGGUCAUAACCAGCCUGAGGAAGGAGAGGCAGGCUGUGCAUACACACAAACACACCUAGGUGGAUGUAUAUAAACACACGUGGGCCCCUGGUGUUCCCAUCGCAGAUGUGCUGUGCGUGGCACAUGUCAGCCGGGGCAGGCUAUCGACCGCUGCCUGUGUUUCUGCAUCAGAACCUUUCGGUUUUCCCUUUCAGGCUUGGAGUUACUUCUCUUUUACAUAAAUAGCACCACUCGAGGCUGCCUUCCCGAUAGGUGGAAUAGUUUCCCCUUGAGAAGGAACUGGUGGAAAUCCCCUCUCUUGAGACAUUUUAACUCUGCCAAAAAAUGUACAAUGGGAGUGACUGCUUUAACUAGCAAGCUGACUUUGGAUGAGCUAAUGGAUUUUUCCAUCACUAGUGUCUAGUUCCAGGGAUUUCCAUGAAUUGCUGUCAGGACAGAAGAAGGCAACAGAUUGCAACUGCGGGAUCUGCUGUUUCAGCUCCACUGACACGUCAUUCCCUCAGGACACCCAGUGACCUGGUUAAUCUAGUUCCUUGCUUCUGACUUCUCCUCGUAAAUGAUUUAUCAACUGGCGUGGAUCCCUGUUUGCUUAAGGAGGCGUGUGACGACCUCUCGCAGGCUGGCUGCACAGAGCCACGGCUGUGUUUGGCAGCCGGCUGCCGGCCGCAGCUCGUGACCCUUGGCUGGGGGAGCAGGGGAUGGGCAGCAGAGCCCGGUGGGUGAUGUUUAUGAGGCUGGCCGGAGGGCGCUGGUGACCAAGCUGCAGGCUCGGCAGUGGGAACACUCGCCUAGGACCUGCCUCGGCCCACUCUGACCCCCAGGGUAUGAAGGCGCGGUGGGCAGAGGGUUGGCGUGGGCUGUGACUGCCCGCCACGGGAGCGCCAGCUGCACCAGAGCCAUCCUUGAGGUCCCUGCUCUCCACGGAGGAAAUAACGCCAACUUUGGUCCGUUGCCUUGUCCACAGCGAGGCAGCAUCCGUGGGGUGACAUCAGUGUCACGUCUGAAGCAGAUGCAGCUCUGGAAGUCUUCACGUGCACACGUAGGUCAGUAUGCGUGUCACCACACACACAGCACGGCUGUAAGAAAGAGACAGUACAGAUCUGAACUCAGUCAGAAGCCAGGGAGUGAGGAUGGAAAUGACUCCUGCAAGCUUUACAUCCUGCCUUUGUACCUGGGCUAAAGGAGCGUGGAAAGAGAUCAGAUAGCACAAAUUGGGCACCCUUCUAAAAAACUGUCUAUGGGCAACUCCCCGCCUUCCCUCCAGGCCAGUUAUUGCCACUUCCUGCUCUGAUUGUUUCAAAUCCGGUUAUCUGGAGUUAUGCCUGUUCUGGCAAAUACGGUGCAGCAGAGGGGAGGGACCGUUCCAGCCAGCGCUGUAUGCAUGCCACAGAUUGCAGAGAUUAGCAUGGGAGGAACCGCAGGGAUGAGCUGCUUGAGGCAAAUAGUGGGAAGCUUACAACAGAGCUGCUUAACAAUUACAGUCAUGAAACUGUAGGACAAAAUCUUUAUUUUGGGGACACGAGGCCGCGCUGGGUUUCCAGCUGGCGGGAGGUUGUCUUGUAGGGGCAGCACGUGGCAGUAAGGCGAGGAGGAAGCCCACCACAGCCAGCCCACUCCGCAGCAGCGCCGUGUCGCACCACCCGAAGGCCACACAUCAUCAGGAGGGCUGGGCUGCAGCGAGGAACCUGCAGCCACAUGCAGGCAGAGGCAAGGGUGUGUUCCUUCCCGCAUAAGGGUGGGUCUGGAGCAGCCUGCAGCUUCAUGGGACCUCAGGGGUGGUCGUUCCUCUUAGCCCACAAGGGUGGAAGUUGCAGCUCCUGUUCCCUUUUUCGGGGUCACGCCACCUUCUUCUGCCUCAGCAGGAACCUCUGUGUUCACGCCCCAUGUGCUCCCACUGCACACCUCCUACAGCAGACCAACAGCGUGGAAGGACAGACAGCUGGCAGAGCGUGUGAGGGCUAAUCCCACCUCACCAGGAGCACCACAGCCACUCUGCUGCUCAAAUCCCAAACCCGCGUCCCCAACAACGAGUUCAGUCUAGGCUGGUCUCCCAUGUGCCCCAUGAGAUGCUCAUCAUAGUAACAAAGCAGAGAGGUGGGACGGGAGAAGAGGCAGAGGCCAAUGAGUUAUCCCGAAAUCAUAUUUCUAACCUUCUAAUAUGUGUGGAUUUGCCUCAGACGUAACUUCAGUCCGAAUUCCCAAGUGCUGAUAGAUUUGUGAGUGGAUAACACAAGGCUCAGGCUUAGCAACAAGCCCGAGCUCACUGACUUCACACCGCCUGUCCCAUGCACCGUCUCGCUCUCCAAACAGCAGAGAGGAGCCUGGUCCGUGUAGGAACUAUGUCCUUCCAAGCAGCACAAGUACUCCUGACUCUAACCCCUUGGAACUCAAACACAUUUACCAAGGACAGCACAGAUGCAAGUGAUGCAAGUACAAAACUCCCCAAAAACAUUCCCGUGUCCCUAGGGCACUGAAACAAGAGCCAGGAUUUCUCAUUGACCUCCUCCGUGGCAGGUGCACAGGUUUAGCAACUACGCACUAAAGAGAGCAGCCAGAAACCAUUUGGCAGAGACAGGACCAGAACCUGCUUCCUCUCAUCUCCAGCUGCCCAGGUUGCUCAGAAUCAUAGAAUCAUUAAGGUUGGAAAAGACCACUAAGGUCAUCCAGUUCAGCCAUCCGCCUACCACCACUGUUGCCCACUAAACCAUGUUCCUUAGUACCACAACUACACGUUCCUCCAACACCUCCAGGGGCAGCUUCCAAGUGCCUGGCUUUGUUCCGGUCCUGGCAACACAGGGCGAUUUUCUGGUCUUUCUUUUCUAUAUCCGAAAGGGUUUUUAAUUUGCAUUUUUUACCACAACCAAUCGCAGAUAUUUUCAUUGAACUGUUCACGCAGAAACCAUUUUAUUGAGCUGUUCUGGUUUUGGUGUGCUUAAAUCAUCCAGCUGGCAGAGCAGGCUAGUGCAUGACAGUGAAGUCACAUACCUCUCUGCUGGAUCUGACCGUAGGAGAUCCUACCAGGUCAAGGUUGCAGCUGCGUGUCACGCAGUCGUGGCAUCCAAAGUUACCGUCGCUCUUUGAGGAAGACUGGCUCGGAGCUGAGAGGCAGCUGACCACGGUUUCUUAUCCAGGUCCCCUGCUGAUGAGGCUCAGACUAAAUCUGCUGGCAAAACCUAACAAGAUUGCAAGCAGAAGGACACAGCUACGGAUAAAUAGAAGUGGGGGGAAUAAUAGCCUGCUUUUCUUGGACUGGGUCCAAUAUUCACUAAAGGGAUUCCCAUGAGCAUCAGUAGGAUUCCAAUCAGAACAUAAAUUCCUUAUAAAUUUUCUUCUACUUUAUUAAACCAUAAAAAAAAAUCAACCCAGCCCCCCCCCCCUCCCCCCAAUAAUCACACACACACACACACACAAACCAGCCUAACAACUAUUUUAAGAGCCGUUUCCCCCUUUUCUUAAAUAUUUAUUCUCCUUUCUGCUCUUUCUCAGUAGCAGGAAGGCCAGAUUGCUUCUCUGACAGCUCCGUGACCUGACAGCUGCCCACAGUCUGAGCAGUGCUGCUCCUGACCAGGAGAGCCAACCUGCUGCGAGCUGCUGCAGCUCAGUGCACGAGUGCUGGGGGAACAUCCAGGGCCCCAAGAGGACAUCCUUCCUGUAUUAGUAUUGCCUCCCUGAACUAUCAAUUAAAAAGAACGCCACAAUUCUGUACCCUGUGGAUGCCGCCUGCCUUCUGUGCGCGCACAAAUCCCACUACGAGAGGUACUGUAAGUACUGAGGUGUUAAAGACGCCAGAGGGAGCCCAGUGGGAUUUCAGAAGAGCAGCGGUCCCGACUGCUUUGGAUGUCAGCGCAGGUCGGACGUGUGAGCCCCAGGCCCCGCCUGUAGGGCCCCACCACCUUUGGAACCUGGUUCCCUCAGCUCCCUCUGUGAAUACGGCAGUUAGCUCCCAGGGUAUUGCGAGGAUGGAAAAAGUAAAGACUAUGAGUUCUCAGGAAAUAUUGAAACGGGGUCAACUGAGUAACAUUUAAGUCAAUUAGAAAGACGGUCUGUUAACAGUCUGUUAAUAGCUGGCUGAGAUGGAUUCCCAUGAUUCCCGGUGCCAGCAUCUCCGCUCACACAAGGAAAUAUUUAUGACUCUUCUCCCUCAAAAGCCCGGUUAACCUCAUUUAAAGCAGAGAGCACGAAGAUAGAUCUAUCAACAUUAGGGACAUCAACUCUCCCUUUUUGUCCCCACGAUUACAAGAGAAAAGGAGAAUUCAAACCUUAAAGUGGGAAGUGAAUUACGCAGAGUGGCCGCAGAUGGGAGCCAUUAAAUGCCCGGCUGCGUUUUUUUAAUUGAAACAAUACAGCAAUUUACUAUACAAAUAGCUCUGGCAGAGCGCUGCUCUGGUGCUGUGGAAGCUGCCCGCCCCGCGUCCCACGGGUCACACACGGCAGCACGGCGCGGACCUCCCGCUCCCAGCACAGCCGCCGGCACCCGGGGCGAGGCGCACCCCUGGGCACAGCACCGCGGCUCCGCCUCGCUUUCCAGACGACUCCAGGAACGUCAGGACGAGCUCCCAGCGGCAGCUCCCGGCCCAUUACCAAAUACAGAGUCCAGAGGGAAGCGAGUCCUCGCUCCUCCUUUUGGGCGAGGCGAAGGGGAAAAAACAAAGCCGGAUGGGUCCCACUGUCAUCUUGACUGCCCGCGGGUUUUGGUCUGAGCUCCCGAAGCUUUAGGCCUGCCUGUAAGUCCAGCUUUGAAAGGGAAGGCGUUUAUUUUCAGUUUUCUGACGAGUGAGUAAUGGGGCUGCCAUCUAGAGGCCACUGCAACUUUCCAGCACAUUCCUUCGGACAGGAGUGGCAUUGUCAAUAACCUCCUCCUCCCACUACCUCCUCAUGAAGGACUUCUCGCUUCUAAAUGAAACUGUUACAGUACAAAGCAGUUCUCCAUCCACAUCCCUGCCCACGGCGGUGGGCUGGAACUGGGUGAUCUUUAGCGUCCCCUCCAACCUGAGCCAUUCUAUGACUGUGUCAUCUCUCAUUCAACGAUUGCAAAUUCUGCCUCAAUCAAUCCGGCUUAAGAAGGAGCUCUACUGAUAGGUAAUCUGUGUAUCCACUGCAGGAAUGGGAUGCUGGGAGUGCUGGCUCUAUGAGUCUCAGCUCCAUCCUUCCAUCCUGUCCCUGAGCUGAACAGCACCAGCCAAACUGGGCCAAACUCAGCGGGAUCCACUUUAGACCCUGCCUUGCAUAGAAGUCGGCUGCUGCAAAUGUGAACAGGAGGCAGAUACAGGGCAGCCAUGGCCACCCACCGCUCACCACGUGAGCUGCCUGCUCACUUGUGCUAAACCCUGUGCCCAAAUGGAGCGGCCCGGCAGGCUGCAGGGCAGCAGGGAGUGAGGGCCGCACUGUGCUGCGCAGGCCUGGCAGCAGAGGAACCCCACUCCAGUGCUUUGCAGAGCACUUCAAAUUUGCUUGCAGACUGCCUGCCUCGCACCCCGCACCCACCAAUUGCAAAAUCCCCUGUUGAUAUGACUAAGAGUCACGCUCUGCAGCCUCAGCUUUGGGUUCUACCUCUCUCGGUCCUGAAAUGGGGACAGGGAAGUGCCAGAUGCUUUCUGUUCUCCUUGCUCAGGACUCUGCGACCAUGGGUGUUUUUGAGUCAGCGGUGCUCAAGGGACCUUUCAGUCAGCAUAACUGCGUGAGUGGCCAAAUAAAAACAGGCCCAAACGCCAAUGGGGCUCUGCUUACAUCAAGGAAAGGGGAAGCAGCUCUUCUACAGCGAGCGCUAGCGA